rnacentral:tRNA from 1 species
GGGUAGGUGGCCGAGUGGUUAAAGGCGGCAGACUGUAAAUCUGCUCACGAAAGUGUACGAAGGUUCGAAUCCUUCCCUGCCCACCA